rnacentral:lncRNA from 1 species
UUUUUUUGCUCUUGUCUCAGAACUCUGUGGAUAAGAAGACAUUUACAAAUUGCAUAUAAAGAAAUGGAGUUUCUCUGCACCGGGGGCGGCACAGAGCCUAGCUCUCAGCCUCUUUCUCCCCUCCGUGAAGCACAGCAGCUGAAUCCCGGUACUCCUGGACCACAUUUGAUGACAACGGUCUGGUGGUUCAAUCCAUCCUUUUACAACUUUCACAUACUUGGCAGACAUCUCAGGAAAAGUGUGACGCUGCCAUAGAACAGAAAUCUGAUAGAACAAAUUCAGGGGGAGGGUACUAACAGCUCUUACACUGAUACUACUUAUAAUUACACCUCUGGGGAGGCAAACAAUGCAGAGUUGGGGAGUGGAUUUUUACAGUCUCCUCUCUACUUGCUAAGAUUUUACAUUAUUUUUCAUUUUUAAUUGUGGUAAAAUACACACAAAGAAAAUUACCAUUCAUCCACUUUCAAUUGUACAAUGCAGUUAAGUAUAUUCAUAUUACAACCAACUUCUAGAGCUAUUUCUGUCUUGCUAAACUGAAACUUUGUACAUUGAACAACUCCUCUCUCAUGUAAGUUGAAUCAGGCAGUGUUUUUUGGGACUAACGUCUCUCACUCAGCAUAGUGUUCUCGAGGUUCAUCCACAGUGUAGCCUGUGUCAGAAUCUCCCCGCUGUGUUUAUAUGCCACGUUCUCUUCAUUCACUCAUCUUCUGUGGACAUUUGAGCUGCUUCCACCUUUUGGCCAUUGUGUCUCUCCCUUCUUUUCUCUUUUUUUGCCUUUUAGGGCCGCACCCGGGUCACAUGGAGGUUCCCAGGCUCUGGGUCGAAUUGGAGGUGUAACUGCUGGCCUACACCACAGCUCACGGCAACGCUGGCUCCUUAAUCCACUGAGUGAAGCUAGGGAUCGAAUCUGCGUCAAAUUUGUUUCCACUGAGCCAUGAUGGGAAAUCCCUGUCUCUUCUAAUUAAUAAUGUAUUCAUCUUUACCAAAAACCCUGAAAAUCAGGAACAAAUGCAGAGCUGUGCACUGACCAGCCAAAUAAAUCAAUGGGAUCCUGACCACUACAACUCACAUUGGCUGACCCAACUGGGGAGAUUCCUUAUGGCAGGGCCUUCCUAAAACUCGGUCUUCCAGAAAGAAAUUCAGAGGUAGCAGUAGCUCAGAAAAGCCAGGACAAAAGGAAAAUCUUGUGGCGGCAAGAUCCUGAGGGAAGGAAGACUGCCAGGGAGCCCAGCCUCGAAAGAGCUGAUUGGGCACAUGUGUGGUGGCCUCAAGUGCACACAAUUCCUUGCAAUGGGAGGCUGUGCUCCAGCUGAGCAGGUGACCCAGGGACAGGAAAGGCCCAGGAAGUCAGGCUGGCCUGAGCAUCCUGCAUUCUUGGUUUCUUCACCUACAGAGAGGACUCAACUCCUGCCCUCAGGACAGUUGUUGGGGAUAAAUAAUAAAACAAUGCCAGCAGAGGGCAGUGAACACCAGAGGCUCUGAUUGUCUAUUGGGUGUCAAAGCCACCACCAAAUGUCACAACUUCUUCCAAGCUGCUCAUCUGCUGGGCAGGCUGGACAUGGCCGAGGACGGGGACCCAGGCUUCAUGUUCUUCCUUACCUGCCUGGACCUCUGCCCACCCAGCUGUUGUCCUCAGACCCUAAAAGAAGAGCCAGACAAAGGCCCAAGCUCCUGACAGUAUCUUCACGUGUUUCUUUUCUUUUUGGGCUGCUCCACGUCAUAUGGAGUUCCCAGGCCAAGGAUCAGAUCUGAGGUGCAGCUGCGACCUAAGCCAUAGCAAUGGCAACACUGAAUCCCUAACCCACUGUGACGGGCUGGGGAUUGAACCAGUGUCCCAGUGCUUCCAAGACGCCACUGGUCCCACUGUGCCAGAGUGGGAGCUCCACAUGUUUCUAUUUUUCCCUUUCUGUUCCUAUUUGUGAUAGAGUCAGUGGACUCCUCCCCCUCACACCCCAAGUCUUCAUCCUCACUGACUCUCAGAUGGAAAGGCCCAUAGAUAUGUGGUAUCCGGUUCUAAUUCAUUCAUUUUUACAACAAAAUCAGAGGCCAAGGAAAGGCCAGGUGGAUGACAGUUUCCACUAGUACUCCUUAAAAAUAGCCUGAUCACCUCCUCCAAGAACACCAGGCUGUCAUCACUCCUGCAGUAGACAGAGACUCCAGCCCCCAAACCAGUCUGAGGUAGGAAUGCCCAGGAAGGUGCAUAUAUUGGGUUAUUUAAAUAAAUCUUUUUUAAAAACUAAUACGCAACUCCUUUUCUUUAUUCUUCUCCAAACUGGCUGAGACUCCAGCAGCCACCAUGGGAGAGAUACUUUUCAGGGCAGAAAUCCACCAUGCAGGUGACCUUCC